CUCAGACCCCAUGUACUGUACAGACUGAACUCUGUUUCUGACAUCCAGCUUAAAAGAAUGUUCUAGUAAAGCAUUGUGAAGAAAACUCCUUGUCAGCAGUGUUCAGUCAGCUUUGCUGAGAAUACGGGCAAUAUGUUUGGAUAUUUUCAUCUAUAUACCAAGAUUUAUUUUCAUCAAACACCAUAAAAAAGAGAGCGAAGCGCACGACUGGUGUCUUCAGCAUCUGAAGUGGAAAAUAUCCUUUCUUGCAAACAACAAGGGGCCCAAUCAAUCCACUGUAUAUGUCCUACAAAAGAACACAAGUAUAUCCACAUCAUAUCCAUUGUAUGGCCAUAUUCACAUGACAGAAUUUCGGAGACUACGGCGGAAAAAUUGAGCUUGGAACUCCUGUUGCAUCCAACCAUGCACACAGCAGAAUUUGUGCAGUGGAA